GUAACGCGUGAAAAUCUGCCUCUAGGACGGGGACAACGAAGGAAACUUCUGCUAAUCCCGGAUGAACCGCAAGGUGAAAUAUUUAUCGCCUAGAGAUGAGCUCCCGUCUGAUUAGCUAUUUGGUAAGGUAAAAGCUUACCAAGGCAACGAUCAGUAGCUGGUCUGAGAGGAUGAUCAGCCACACUGGGACUGAGACACGGCCCAAACUCCUACGGGAGGCAGCAGUGGGGAAUUUUCCGCAAUGGGCGCAAGCCUGACGGAGCAAGACCGCGUGGGGGAGGAAGGCUCUUGGGUUGUAAACCCCUUUUCUCGGGAAGAACCAAAUGACGGUACCUGAGGAAUCAGCCUCGGCUAACUCCGUGCCAGCAGCCGCGGUAAUACGGAGGAGGCAAGCGUUAUCCGAAAUGAUUGGGCGUAAAGCGUUCGUAAGUGGCUAUUCAAGUCUGCUGUCAAAGACAGAAGCUCAACUUCUGAAAGGCAGUGGAAACUGAGUAGCUGGAGUGCGGUAGGGGCAGAGGGAAUUCACGGUGUAGCGGUGAAAUGCGUAAAGAUCGGGAAGAACACCGGUGGCGAAGCGCUCUGCUGGGCCGCAACUGACACUGAGGGACAAAAGCUGGGGGAGCGAAUGGGAUUAGAUACCCCAGUGAUCCUAUCUGUCAACGAUGCAAACUAGGUGUUGCCUGUAUCGACCCGUGCAGUGCCGCACCUAACGCGUUGAGUUUCCCGACUGGGUAGUACGCACGCUAGUGUGAAACUCAAAACGAUUGACAGUCGCCCGCACAGCGGUGGACUAUGUGAUUUAAUUCGAUGCCACGCGAAGAUCUUAC
rnacentral:rRNA from 1 species